UUCCCGGGCCCUGUACACACCGCCCGUCACACCACGAAAGUUGGCAAUACCCGAAGCCGGUGGCCUAACCCGCAAGGGAGGGAGCCGUCGAAGGUAGGGUCGAUGAUUGGGGUG
rnacentral:rRNA from 1 species